UACGGGGGGGGCAAGCGUUGUUCGGAAUUACUGGGCGUAAAGGGUUCGUAGGUGGCCAACUAAGUCAGACGUGAAAUCCCUCAGCUUAACUGGGGAACUGCGUCUGAUACUGGUCGGCUUGAGUGCAGGAGAGGAACGCGGAAUUCCAGGUGUAGCGGUGAAAUGCGUAGAUAUCUGGAGGAACACCGGUGGCGAAGGCGGCGUUCUGGACUGCAACUGACACUGAGGAACGAAAGCGUGGGGAGCGAACAGG
rnacentral:rRNA from 1 species